GAGUGGUAACAAGGAGCACCCCCCACCCCAUCCUCCUUGUUACGAGUCACGGUUUGUUUCCUUGUGCAGGAAAUCAACUCACCGGUGAUCCGGCCAGCGAUCCUCGAGAGGAAGGGAUUAACCCUUCUUGACGAGACCAGUGAGUUAACCCUGCCCGGUUAACCAUUGUUUCAUCACCCAUGUUUGCUUUAUAACCUCAUUCAAACUCCGCAAAACCACCGUUCUGCUCCUGUUCUUGUAAUGCUUUUUAAACCCUCAUCGUUGACGCUCCAAUACUCCGACAAUCCAUCCGUAGUAUCAACAAGAGAGCAAUCAAUCCUGCACUCACCAUGUCAAUAGCAAUGGCCACCGGUUUGGUCUGGCUGGAGCUUCUUAAUGUUAUAGGCGGGCCACAAAGGGGAAGACUAACGAAUUUCUACACAUCUUACCUGUAUAAUGUUUCAAUUUGAAAUCUGGUUCUUACGAGACUUGGGUUUAGUUCUUAUUUGAAGUUGAAGAGACAAAGAAUGAUUUCAGGUUCUGUUUUUAUUCAAAAAUAUUUGUCGCUUUAUAUUAUUAUAUAUGUGAAUUGUUGAAUUUCGAUGGUGUUUGUUGACGUUUUUUAUUUGGUUGAGUUGAUUUUGUAUGUGAGCCAUAGAGCACAAAGAUAUUUGAUGCUUGACUAGCAACAUUUUCACUUGCAUGCCAGGUGUUCGACAAAAUGCCAAAAAGAAAUUUAGUAUCAUGGAAGGUACAAAGGGGAACCGACUUUACCAAGGCCAAUGAUAACUCUUGGUAUCGAGAUGCCCAUUAUGAGCUGAGAUGUACCCUCUUGCUAACCAAAUUGAAAUAACUAUACACACAAGUUAACCAACCAACCCCAAGAUAUAUUGUGUCCAUCCAAACACUGGAAUUGUCUUAUCACGAACUGUUUACAAUGUCAUAGGUAAGAACUCUUCAGGCAAGAUCAGUUUAUUUAUAGUUAUUCAAGAGUCUUUAGUCAAGUGUCUAACUGUUUCAUGCAUUAUCAUUAUUGAUGUGACAUAGGGAUCUUUGCUUUUGUGGUAAGUUGACAUCUUAGCUUCUUAUGUUUUUGUCUUAGAUUUCUUUGUCUACUAUGUUACAUAGUUUCAAUGCCUGCCUCCACUGGUGGAUACGGGUACCACGUAUUUCAUUAAGUUACCCGAGGGUGAAAGAUCAAUGUGGCUGAUCUUUACAUAUCAGACUUCUAAUCUGGGUUAAGGGCUGUGGAUUAUGGUUCACUGCUCAUAAUCCUAAAUAAUUGUUCAUGAACAUAAAGGAACAGGAGACACAAAGAAUGCGAAGAAGAGUGCUGUUGAUUCAAGAUUAUGAGCAGUAAUGCUUUUACUCCUCGGAUUUUGAGUCGAAACCUUCGUCAAAGGAACAAGUGAUAUGAUGGUCGUUGGCGGCUAUUGAUUGGUAACAUUCCGGUUCACGUGCAUUGGUGCUAUCAAAACACUCGUCGGUUUCUAAAGAUAAUGCAGGUAAUCAUUAUCAAAUGUUCUUGAUUCAUUUUUACUAUUUAUCUAUCAAUUUCAUAGAUUGUUUUUUUUUUACAUUAGUUUCUUUAUUUGAAUUUUUUUAUUUAUGUGGUUUUGUCUAAUUUGAAAAACAUGGGUCUCAAAUUUGGCUCUAGAUACUCUUUUCUCAAUGCUACCUAUAUAGAUCCUAUGUGGUUCUCAACAACUUUUCACUCCAUUUUUUUUUUCAACCCCAUUUUAUUUAUUUGGGAAAUAUGAUCAUAUGCUAAUUUGUUUUCACAUUUGCUGGAAAUAAAAACCUGUUCAUGGGUUCUACUCCUGUUUCAUUACGCACAAACAACCAACUAUCAAAAUUGAGCAUGGAAAGCAGAACAUAGAGAGAGAAUGAAAGAGGAGUGAGAAUUCUGAUCCCAUGGAUGAGGAUGAUUAUGAUAUGGCGGAGAUUAGGGCGACUCAUUUUGAGGAAUCAAUGAAGUAUGCCCAGCGAAUUGUAAGUGACGUUGACACCAGGAAGAACCAGUCAUUUGAUCAGAUGUUGCAGUAGUCGAGCAGAUUUCGAUACAAAGUGAAAGAAACAAGUGUUGGUAGUGACGUCAAUGGACUUGCGGGACAAGAAAAAGGAUGCAUAUUAAUAUUACUAUGUCUGCAAAUAUGAACACUUCCAUCGCCAUGUCUCUACUCUCUGUAAAUCAAUUUACUUUCUUUUUAAACUAUAACAGAUUCAAAAUCAUCCCAUCUUCUUUGUUAAA